rnacentral:rRNA from 1 species
GACGAACGCUGGCGGCGUGCCUAAUACAUGCAAGUUGAGCGCUGAAGGUUGGUACUUGUACCAACUGGAUGAGCAGCGAACGGGGGAGUAACGCGUGGGGAAUCUGCCUUUGAGCGGGGGACAACAUUUGGAAACGAAUGCUAAUACCGCAUAAAAACUUUAAAAACAAGUUUUAAGUUUGAAAGAUGCAAUUGCAUCACUCAAAGAUGAUCCCGCGUUGUAUUAGCUAGUUGGUGAGGUAAAGGCUCACCAAGGCGAUGAUACAUAGCCGACCUGAGAGGGUGAUCGGCCACAUUGGGACUGAGACACGGCCCAAACUCCUACGGGAGGCAGCAGUAGGGGAUCUUCGGCCAUGGGCGAAAGUCUGACCGAGCAACGCCGCGGGAGUGAAGAAGGUUUUCGGGUCGUAAAACUCUGUUGGUAGGGAAGAACGUUGGUGAGAGUGGAAAGCUCAUCAAGUGACGGUAACUACCCAGAAAGGGACGGCUAACUACGUG